CCCGGUUGGNUGGAUCCCUGCUUGUGCAGCGACAAUCGCUUGUUCAUGCCUUUUCAUUCUUUGUCCAAUAGCUAUCGUGCCUCGGGACAAAUUGGUUACCUGUUUUACGUACUACGUUGAUGGAAUUUGACAGUCCAACAGUCCCUCCUUCACCUUGUGCUUCUCAUGUGGCAUGGGAUGAACCCUAUAGUUCCCUUGGUCAUCCACGCAAGCAACACUUUCACGUGUCGCAGGCAAUGGCUGACUCUGUGGCGCUCGAAUUCUCGGAUACGGAACCUUAUGAUGGCAAUGGGGUCUUUGGCCUCUAUUUUGCCUACAUUAAGCGUUCUCGCUUCUUACGAAAGACUGUCGUGCCCGCGUUGACAUGAGGGCAUCUAAUGUC
rnacentral:misc_RNA from 1 species